CACAACAUUUGCCUUCCUUUUCUGUGGAUACCUUUGUAGCUCCUACCAAGAGGUUAAAUCUGUUGUGUUGCGUACGCUGAAUCGAGCCAGGUUAAAUGUGGCUAUAGAUUCCUUCCUUAAGACAGGGAGAGUUCCAACACUGGAGGAGGGAAAUAGGAUGGAAAAAAUAUUCAGUUUUCCCUAGUCAAAAGAGAGGCUUGUUGUUCUC